ensembl:lincRNA
UUUGUUCUCUUCAGCUGUUUGUGAUAUUAUCCUUAUUUUUGUUCUUGAUCUUCAGAUCUCCUUCCUCUACCUUUAGUUUGCUGCUUCUAAUCUAAUGGACUUGGGAGAAGCCACUUACGAGAAUGGUAUAUAAGCCAAGAGCAAAUGAACUGAAGUCUGAGGGGCUGGCUAUCCAAACAACAAAAGAUGGAGCAUCAGAUCAUUCACUGAAGAGUUUCUUGCUCUUACAAGGUACACAACUGUGCAACCUCUCUACCUCUUCUCACUCUAGAAAGCAUUUACCUGGAAGCAGUCUGGAGCCACAAACUCUAGAGCCCACAAGAUCCACACAGGGAGUACGAGUGAGUGGAGUGGUCCACGGGAUGGUGGAUGAGUCCUCCCAGAAAGCAAUAUCAGGAGAGCAGCAGCCUCACCUGUGUUUCAAUUGUGUCUUUACUCAGCAACUAGAACAGUGCCAUCUACAUAGUCCAUCAUAAAUAAAUACUGGUUGAAUGAAUGAAUGAAUAAAUAAAUACUCAAAAUUAACUGUUGCAUGGCAAGGAUGAGGACCAAAUGCUGUCCAACUCUUAGAUUUCUUAAGAAAUCUAAGAGAGUUUGUACUUUUAUGUGAAUUGUCUUGCUUUCAAAAGUUGACAACAAAGUAAAAAUGUAAAGACACUGGGCAGGUCAAACAAAAACAUAUCUAAGGGGAAAAUUCCACUCCUAAGCUCCAAUUAGAAACCUCUGCUCUUCGUAAUAGCUUAUGUAAUAUUUUCCCAUUUGCCCUGUAGGAUCACUUUUGUUAUUACACUUUUUUUUUCAUAUGUGCUGUAUAGUAUAAAUAGUAUUGUGCCC